CAAACAUGCUGAAGUAAAGUGAGUAUAAUUUUUCCUUCCAAUAUCGGAUUAAGGUGAAAAAAAUGUGUUAGAAACAAGAUUCAAAGACCUUUCAUUUGAUAUAUAAUAGGAUACGUAAUUCAUUAUGUACAAGGAGUAAUGGUCAUCUAAGGUUGACCCAAGCUGAAAUGUUCACUAAAACUUAAUCGAUAUGAGCGUU
rnacentral:lncRNA from 1 species